UGCUGCUGAGAUAAUCAAGAAAGUCAGGGUGGUGAUGCAAGGAGUCAUUUUGUCUUUAGAAAAGGAAAUUAAAUGGGUGGAAAUUCAGCAGAGCCAACACUGUAGGUAGAUCUCUGUGGAGGAAAUGACAUCAGAAUCUGAGCAAAGACAGAAAGAUUGUGAGAAGGCAGACUUUAGAACUGUCACGCCUCCUUUAUCAAUCAUGCAGGUGGGGUUUUGAUGCUGUGUGCCACCAGUUUUUGUAAAGCAGCCAGAGGAGUUGAAACACUGUGCCGACUCGCAGCACAGAAGUAUUGUGCUGUGUCUGCUGGAUUAACAUUGGAGAUUUCAAGCUGAGCUUUGGCCGUUGCAUGGCCUGUUAUGUUAAAUUUGCUCUUAAAGCUCUUUUCAAGAGUUGGGGCACCAUAUUCAAGCCGUCCAAUCAGGUCCAUUGUCCGCUGGCCUCCAGCUGCUGACUUGUGCUGGUACCAGUACAUGUAGGUAUAGUCACUCGCUCCAUGGUAGCAUUCGAUCUUGGCUUGUCGUUGUUCUGGUUCUAUCAGAAGAUUUAAAGGUGUUUGCUGAAUCACAAGCGAUGACAGCACACAGUCUAGAGGACAAAAAC
ensembl:lncRNA